GGUGAACACUGGGAAAACCCAGGAAUCAGCAAAUCCAUUGUGUUGCGCUGACAGAAAGAUACUGUUACAACACACUUUAGCUGCCAACUUGCUGCAGUCACUCAAUCCAUCAUGGUGGGCUGUUGGAUCACAAGCCAGUGAAACUCAGCCUGGCGUGUUAUUUUAGUCUUACAUGGACUGUGAGAUAAACGGGGCAUGAACCAGCCCCCUGGCAGGGGGUCGACCCCUAGCGCCCUCAUUAAAGUGCCAAUCAAAAAGAGUAAUGGAACAGGGAAUAGAAAGCUGGCUUCUUCAGCCUCUUACUGCUCUCAGUCUGAGCAACUUUCACAAGCCAAAGGAAACAUUUCUCUUCUGAAUAGGAGCCAGACUUCCAGAAAUACCUCCUCUCUCCUUGUCUCUGUGAGAGCAAGUGCUGAGACUCUUCUGUGUGUCUUGCUUAGGGUGGAAACCUGUUGCUUACUACAGUGCAGGUAGUAGGAAGAAGUGUUGCUGACUGCAACCCAGAAAGGAUGGAGAUGCUUAUUCUGUGGAAGAUGCAGGCACAGGGCUGUGUGUGCAGGGCUCAUUGAUUGGUUAGUGACAACGGUUUCAAUUGCAGAUUGCUCACAUUUCAGCAUUCAUGGGUAAACGAUGGAAGGUAAACUGGUGGGUCCAGAAGUCUUGCUGAUGUGCGCAAGCUGCCUGUAACCUGCAGUGUGUACACCUAGAAAGCUGCUUUUCACACCAAGGUACCAGAGGUGAAAUCACUGUGAUGACCAGAUAGAGGAAUGUUCUUCAAGGAAGAGAAGCAGAGCAAGCGAGGUUACUCAUAAAGGAGUCAUCAUCUAGUGGUUUGGGUUGUUGUAGGAAACAGCUUCUGAAACAGCAAGAAUAUCUGCUUUUAUUGCUGUAAGUCAUACCUCCUCCUCAAAUGAAACCAGGCUAAAGGGUGUUUGCUUUGCAGCUCCUUACAUAGUUGCUGCAAAACAAAGUAUGCAAGCCUUCUGCCUGUAACUUACCACCACGGAGCUGUGAACUACAGCUGUGAACUACUUUUUAUUCACCUUACCCACCUACGUUUUAGCGACUAGACAUUUUCUGCAUUAAAAAAAAGAAUUUUACAGGGAAGAGAAGCAGGAAGUCUUAGUAGCGGAGUCCAACAGGACUGACAUGUUAAAGCACUGUUGAGCCAAUGCACUUGUUGAAUUCUACACUUUACUUAAAAAUUAUACAGAGGAAUAUACAAAAGUGGUGCAUUAAAUCAGUUUCAUUUGCAUAAUGGACUUUGUGGAUUUUGAUUUCCAGUCACAGACCAUACACACAUCCACUGAUACUACAUUUUGUUCUUACACAGUGGUCCUCCACCUUUCACAGUACAAGAGUUAAAAACAGUUUUACUUCUAACAUUUAGUUAAAAAAUAUUCCUGUAUGCCUUUAUCAUAAAGGAUGUAAAAAGGUAAAUUAAGAUGAAAGUAAAGUUAUAGGGGACUUCUUAUUUUUGAGUCGGAGGCUUACAAAAAUCAACACUUCUUAAAAGGCUCCUGAAAUCUGCAAAAGGUUACAGAACAGUUCUGGGAAAAUCGUGUACUCACAUUUGAACCUUGCAUAGCAGAGUGCUGUACUGCAUGCAGAUAUUCAGCACAGUUGCUGAACUAUCUCCAGGGAACACAUAUGAAAACUAGAGUGGGGUGGGAGAGGCCAAAAAAAAAAA